rnacentral:misc_RNA from 1 species
AGCACUCGGGAAUCCACUCCUUGCAGUUUGAUAAGGGACCCAGAAACCAUUAGAACCCCUGGUUCGACUACUAGACCUGCCAGCUCAACUGAAAUUAGCAGGAGAUUACAGAACUCCACGCGUAGACACAUUCCAACAGCACAUGAAAUGGACGAGUUCUUUGCUGGAGCUGAACAAGAGCAGCAGAGACAAUUUAUUGAGAAGUAUAACUUUGACCCCGUUAAUGACAAGCCACUCCCUGGACGGAAGCUGGAUCCUUAGAAGACAUUAGUACUCCAUCAGUACCUGUCCUGCAAAUUAUCAGUUGAUCUUGAGCUUAGGAUUUUUUAAAGUAGCAGGAAUUAGUUUUUAGUUCUAAUUGUGAUGGUGUUAUUUCCAUUUUCCAUCACCCUUCUUUUACUUGUAAAGAAAGAAGUAGGAUUAUCAAAACUGUGUAGACUAAUGGUCUGUAACAUAACGGGGGUUAGAGUUACACAACAAAUACAAAUCAAAGUCCUUUGUCUAACAGAUCAU